rnacentral:rRNA from 1 species
GAUGAACGCUGGCGGCGUGCCUAAUACAUGCAAGUCGAGCGAACAGAUGAGGAGCUUGCUCCUCUGACGUUAGCGGCGGACGGGUGAGUAACACGUGGAUAACCUACCUAUAAGACUGGGAUAACUUCGGGAAACCGGAGCUAAUACCGGAUAAUAUAUUGAACCGCAUGGUUCAAUAGUGAAAGACGGUUUUGCUGUCACUUAUAGAUGGAUCCGCGCCGCAUUAGCUAGUUGGUAAGGUAACGGCUUACCAAGGCAACGAUGCGUAGCCGACCUGAGAGGGUGAUCGGCCACACUGGAACUGAGACACGGUCCAGACUCCUACGGGAGGCAGCAGUAGGGAAUCUUCCGCAAUGGGCGAAAGCCUGACGGAGCAACGCCGCGUGAGUGAUGAAGGUCUUCGGAUCGUUAAACUCUGUUAUUAGGGAAGAACAAAUGUGUAAGUAACUAUGCACGUCUUGACGGUACCUAAUCAGAAAGCCACGGCUAACUACGUG